GAAUUCGAUUCGGUGUGACAAGGCCCGGGAACGUAUUCACCGCGGCGUGCUGAUCCGCGAUUACUAGCGAUUCCAACUUCAUGGAGUCGAGUUGCAGACUCCAAUCUGAACUGAGAGCGGCUUUUUGGGAUUGGCUCCCCCUCGCGGGUUCGCGACCCUUUGUACCGCCCAUUGUAGCACGUGUGUGGCCCUGGACAUAAGGGCCAUGAUGACUUGACGUCGUCCCCACCUUCCUCCGGCUUAACGCCGGCAGUCCCCCUAGAGUGCCCAACUGAAUGGUGGCAACUAAGGGCGAGGGUUGCGCUCGUUGCGGGACUUAACCCAACACCUCACGGCACGAGCUGACGACAGCCAUGCAGCACCUGAACCGGCGGUCCCCGAAGGGAAGGCCCUAUUUCUAGGACUGUCCGCCGUUGUCUAGCCCAGGUAAGGUUCUUCGCGUUAAUCACUA
rnacentral:rRNA from 1 species